UAGCUUUCAUUGCAAAAGGAUUUGAGUAUAGGAGCAGGGAGGUUCUACUGCAGUUGUACAGGGUCUUGGUGAGACCACACCUGGAGUAUUGUGUACAGUUUUGGUCUCCAAAUCUGAGGAAGGACAUUAUUGCCAUAGAGGGAGUGCAGAGACGGUUCACCAGACUGAUUCCUGGGAUGUCAGGACUGUCUUAUGAAGAAAGACUGGAUAGACUUGGUUUAUACUCUCUAGAAUUUAGAAGAUUGAGAGGGGAUCUUAUAGAAACUUACAAAAUUCUUAAGGGGUUGGACAGGCUAGAUGCAGGAAGAUUGUUCCCGAUGUUAGGGAAGUCCAGGACAAGGGGUCACAGCUUAAGGAUAAGGGGGAAAUCCUUUAAAACCGAGAUGAGAAGAACUUUUUUUUUCACACAGAGAGUGGUGAAUCUCUGGAACUCUCUGCCACAGAGGGUAGUUGAGGCCAGUUCAUUGGCUAUAUUUAAGAGGGAGUUAGAUGUGGCCCUUGUGGCUAAGGGGAUCAGGGGGUAUGGAGAGAAGGCAGGUACGGGAUACUGAGUUGGAUGAUCAGCCAUGAUCAUAUUGAAUGGCGUUGCAGGCUCGAAGGGCCGAAUGGCCUACUCCUGCACCUAAUUUCUAUGUUUCUAUGUUUCUAUGGAACUUUCAUAUGGAAUCACUGAAAAUAUACAGAACAGAGAGAGAUCAUUUAACCCAUUAUCUUCACUCCAGUCUGAAAAAGAUGUAUUCUGAUUAAUCACAGCCAGGGUAUUGGUGUGUCGCCUGGCAGGUUAUAAGGGCAUAAGUGAUAGGAGCAGAAUAAGGCCAUUUGGGCGCCUCAAGUCUACUUCGCCAUUCAAUGAUCAAUGUUAUUAUAUGUUGAAUGGUUGUUAGGUUUUAAUAUGUGUUGAAUAUUUCUGCAAUUGCCAACUUUUCAGGCUUUUAAAUCUGGAUUCUAGACUACACCUUGUGAAAAAAUAGUACUGAAUUUCCUUCUAAUCUUUCAACCAAUCACCUACACUUGAUUCCACCAAUUAUUAAUCAGCCUGGUGCUAGACCUUAAAUAAAACUGAAAAUGUUGGAAAAACAGUGGGUCACUCUGCAUCUGUGAUGCUGCCUGACCUGUUGAGUAUUCCCAGCAUUUUCUGUAUGAUUGCACUUUUAAGGGGCUGUCCCACUUGGGUGACCUAAUCCGCCAGCCCAGAAGAGUGUCUUCGACCUUCAAGCUCAAGGGCACUCGCCUGGAAAACCUCGAGCUGGAUCGACUGUCCAAGUUGAAACCGUGAGCUGGAUCGACCGACCACACACACACACAAACAUAUCGCGAAAGUGGGGGCCAGGGAAAGCGGGGGAGCACAGUCUGAAAUUCAAACCCGCGAUGAAGAAGAAGGCAAAAUGGCUGCACAGUAAUGAUUUCAUUGUGUAUAAAAAUAGAGAUCACCCCAAGAAUGGAGCAGUGUGUAGAUCAAGCACAGAAAAUUAAUAAAAGCACAGAUAUUUAUAAAAUGACAUU